GGCUUCUUGGUCGUGUAGUAAGGAUACCUGCCUCUCACCCAGGAGUCCCGGGUUCAAUCCCUGGUCGAGAAGCUA